GGGGCAGGGCAGGAGGUUUAAUUAGGAGGCCUCUGCACGGUUCCAUUGUCAAGUGCUCAGGCCUAAACUGAGUUCAGUAGAACCCUAAAUGAGAGUUCUACCCUUGUAGAGACAUAGUGUGUGAGAUGCUCUUGCAUUUUUGGGUUUAAACUGUAAGCUCCAUGUGGGCAGGGAUUUUUGUCUCUUUUGUUACGACUAUUUUCCCCACGUUCAGAAGAAUGCUUGGCACAUAGCUGGCACUUAAUUAAUCUCUGUUGAAUGAGUAAAUUAGGGAAGGCUCAACACUGAGCCUGAGAGACGAACAGGGUAGAGACAGGGAGGAUGAACAGAGCGUGAGGUCCGCAGCGGGCUGUAUCACACAAUAGGGCAGCGACUCCGGUUGUCCUUGGAAGCGCACUGACCUGGGGCUUAUGGGGUCUGUUAUGGGCCAGUCACUGUACCAGGUGGCUGUGGCCCAGGCCCGUGGCCUAUCUGCAUCCUUAUGACCGAUUGGACAGGACAUGUGUGAACUCAGAACUUCUAACAGAUUGGAUUUGGUGGGGUUUUAAUUAAAUGAAUUCACCACGGACAGUCUGGCACCGAGAAAGUAAUUCUACAGCACAAUUUAAAGUGGACUUGGCCACCUCAGCAGAUGGCUGGAGAUGCCAGUCCUCCUCUGUGGGCUUCUUGAAAGGCUGUGUCUAUAACUUUGGCAUCUGGCUGGCCUGAGUCCUACACUUAAUACUCUCUGGCUCUUUCCGCUUUGCCCAUGGAGGAGAAGCAGGCACAUGUUGGCAUUUCCGUGUCAGACUCCCCCCAAAGGGGUUGAACUGCCUCCAGCAAGAAGCCCUAUUUUGUCAUGAGGGUAACAGUGGCCCGCCCAGGUGUUCCCUGUUGGCUACACCAUGCGUCCUGGAGUUGAGCCUGUGCAGAGCCUGGCUGCCUGAAAGCUCACCCUUCAGGCAGUGUUACAGGGGACAGCAUGGGCCCAGAGGGGCAAGGGUGCAUGGAAUUAAAAAGCACCCAACCAGGAGUCAGAGGCCUGGCUUCCAUCCCAGCUCUUGCCACUACCUUGCUGUAGGACAGGAGUUGGCAAACUUCUUUAAAAGGCCAGAUAGUAAAUAUUUUAGGUCUCAUAGUCUGUAUGGGCUCUUGCAACUACUCAGCUCUGCCAUUAUAUCGAGACGAAAGCCAUAGACAAUAUGUAAAUGAAGGGGUGUGGCCAUGUUCCAACAAAACUUGAUCUAUAAAAAUAGGUGGUGGGCCAAAUUUGGUUUAUGGGCCCUAGUUUGCGGAGUCUGCUGUAGGGCCUUUGUUAAGGCACAUUGGCUUCCUGAGCCUCAGUUUUCAUAUCUGUCAAAUGGGAUGUUAGAUCGGAAGGUUAUUUCUUCUCUGACCAUGUUAUAGUUGAAGAUUUAAUAAAUUGCUAGCUCCCCUUGUUCCAUGUACCAUGCAUAGGCCCGGGGGCGAGGGGUGAGUUUCCAGCAGAGUCUGGAGCUCAAACCUGCAUGUAAAAUUGGGAUCCGCGGCUCCUUGGAGGCCCCAGCUGCACCUGCACGUAUGUGGAUGCUGCUCAUGCUUUUUUUCUUCCUGAUGGGUUUCUACUCUUCCAUCCAAGCCCAUCUCAAAAGUCACCCCCUCGGUGAAGCCUCCCUGAUCCUACCCACCUGAACAAAUCAGUGCUCAGAGCCCUUCAUUCAUCACUCAACACGCCUCAAACCUUCAUCCCCUCAACCAGCAGACUUUUUGAGUCCUUAAUACAUGCAAGUGCUCUAAGUUCUAAAAUAGUAAUAUGUUCUGUGUUUUACUUGUGCAGAGCUUUGUCAUUUACAAAGCAGUUUCUUUACCUCUUAUCGUUUGAGCUUGCACAGCAACCCUUAGGCGUUCUUCUUCUUUUCCUUCCUAUUUUACGGAUGUGAAAACUAAGGCUCAGAGAAGUAAAGGGUUUUAUCUCUGGCUAUGGAUGCUACAACCAAACUUGAAAUUCGAAGGCAGUUCUCUUUCCACUGCCCCAGGCUGCCCCAGGACUCUUCCACAGGAGUGAAAGUCAGAAGACCUGGCUGGGGUCUGGUUUGAGUUGUUCCACUGUGUAAUCACAGGCAAGACCUGGCCCUUUUCUUGGCCUGGAGGCCCUCCUGUGGGAAAUGAAGAAGCUAGAGAUGUUCUUGAGGCCCUGUGACAUUCUAGGAUUCUGGACCUCCAGAGGGGCCGUGCAUCCUGCCCCACAAACAGUGGAGAAAGCACUGUCGGGUCCCCCAAACAAUGGCACUGGGCCUCUGGCUGCACAUCAGACGCACAGUCGCUGGGGCCCGCAUGUCCGCAGAGCUGUUCCAGUCCGUGCUGAGUGGAUGCCGUGGGUCGCCUGAGAACCCUUUGCAUUUUCCUGCAAGGGGGCCGGAGCUAGGCUGGCCUGGCCGGCAGUGCUCUGAAUACGGCCCACAGCCGAGGCAGACUGAAGUCUGCGACCCCACCCCCAUGCAGCCUCCUAGGGCAGGAGGCCACAUGGAGUCAGGGAGGAGAUGACCACGUCUCCCUGUCUAGGUCUCCCGGGGCUAACAUGGGCCAAGGCGUUAGGGAGUAUUGUUGGUCCCCAGGCUCUCCCUACUGACUGCUGAGCCCCCAGGGGUCCCCAGUGGACCCCCAUCUAGCCCUGGAGUCCAGCCUCCUGGGCCCUGGAAUCUUUGCUUCUUUUUACUUUUUUAGCUUCUUCUUUGCCUUUUCUUCCUUCUCUCUCUUUUUCCUCCUUCUUUCCUCCCCCUCCUCCUUUAAAUUUUUUUUUAACAUUUAUUCAUUUUUGAGAGACAGGGACAGAGCACAAGCAGGGGAGGGGCAGAGAGAGAGGAAGACACAGAAUCGGAAGCGGGCUCCAGGCUCUGAGCUGUCAGCACAGAGCCCGACGCGGGCUUGGACCCAGGAACCGUGAGAUCAUGACCUGAGCCAAAGUCAGACGCUUACCCGACUGAGCCACCUAGGCGCUGCGCGCCGCCCCCCCGCCGCCUCCUUUUCUCAUUUUGUUUUCCCAGUCUCCCUCUGGACUCUGAGGGUGAGUGGUAGCUUGUACUUCUAGGUCCGGUGGUAGUACAAUGUAGCAGUAGUAAUAACAGUAAUAAUGACCAAGUUCACAUCUAUUUGAGCAUUGCUGUGCCAGGCACCGUACAAAGUGCUUCAUGCACAUCAUUUACUUUCAUCUCCACAAACCCUAUAUGAGAGAGGUAUUAUCUCCAUUUCACAGGUGAGAAAACGGAGACACAGAAAGUUCCCGUUACUCACUUAAGACCACACAGCCGGUGAGUGGCCGAGUCGGGGCACAGAUUCAGGCCUGUCGCCGUGCACAAUCUAGCCAACAUUGGCGGAUUAGAUGCUGUACUCUGGAAGGCAGGUGCCUGGGGUGUUCAGCUGAGGAGACUGAGCCUAGGGGCUGGGUGACUUGGACCAGGCCGCAUGGGCACGUGGCAGAGCCAGGCCUUCCCGCUCUUUCUUCCGUGUCUCGGUGGCCUCCCGGGCUUCUGGACUGGGGUCAAAGCAGGUGCCCUCUCCAGCUACCAGUCCCCCUUCUUCCCAUCCAGGCCCUUCUCCCAGGAGGCUGGGCCUUGCCGUGCCCCAGAAGGUGCCCUCCUGGCCUGAGCCGGAUGGCAAGAGGCAGAGGGGAGCUCAGAGCCAGCCCUGGAAGAGGGGGGCGUGGUGCCUACAGAGGCCGAGUGGGCGGCAGGGGACCCAGGAAGGCUGCAGCACCUGGUUGGUCUCAGGAAUAUCAGUUGGAAAAUCAGAGGGGCAAAGAUGGCUUCGUUCCUCUUAGUCUGUCUUAGUUAAUUAAUUGAGCAGACAUUUCUUAAGCAUCCCCUGCUUUGCGCCAGCUACUCUGCUCCGUGCCAGGAGAGGACAUGGAGUUGAGGGUGGCUUGGUCUUGCCCUCUGGGAAGAGAAGCAGGCGAGUGGGAGGCUGAGAGGAGACGGUCCCUGAAGUAAAGACUUGCCCCAGGAUGUGUGGAGUCUAUGCCAGAGGCACCUUCCUGUGACAGGGGGACCCAGACAGGGGGAUCCUGUGGGCACCUGGAAACCGGAGGGAGUUGAAAGGCACAGUAAUCCUGCCAGUGCUCCUGUGGCUGGAACGUGGCACUCAUGUUCCCUCAGGCCUCCAAAGGUGUCCCCGGAUACCUGGGAGUCUUGCUCAGGGCUGGCGUGAACACCUGGCUCGUGCACGGAGCUGCCUGGCCCUUGUUGUCGCCAGAAACUGGGCCAAGGUUACUGUCUGAGGCCAUACUCUCUCUGUCCCCCUUUCUCCUCCUUAUCCUCCUCCUCCUUCUACCAUUUACUCUUUUGUUUAAGUAAAUUUUUAGUUUUAGCACAAUCCUCGAUUUAUAGACUUAUGGGGAAGACCUUCCUCCCUUUUUCCACACUCACCGCCUCCCUGUGCGGAUGCAACGCCGGCUGCUGUCCCCUAUCCCCUGCCCCCCUAUCCCCUGCCUUCUCCCUCUUGAGGAGCCUUCUGAGGAACCUUCCUCCUGCUCUGGCCCCAACAGCAUCCCGUCCUCUCAGCUCUCCGCACAGCGUCCGUCUCUGCCACUCCCUUGCCUCUCCUGGCGGACACCGGACACCGCCUGCCGUAUUGACCCAGCUCCUAACGCGCAGUGAUGCCUCUGUGAGCAAAGCUUCAUUUAGUCAAGUCUGCUUGCACAGAAAGCGGGGAGGGGGCCAGCUGGCCCGGGUGGUGCUGGACACCGGACAACGGUUUUUAAGAGGCGGUCAGGGCCCAGGCUCGGUCCCCUGGUGGAGACUUGCCUCCUGGCCCCCACUGUGUGAGGCUGAGUGUGGGGUGGCAGGUGGGAAUGGGGAGGGGGGGAGUGUGUGAGGAAGGAGGGAGAGCAAGGGAGGGCAUUCCCAGGCCAGAGGGAAGCCUAUGCUUUCUCUGCCCUUAGUGCCCCUACCGCUAACCCAAUCCAGCACCCUUACGUUAAUUAUCUCCAGUCCUCACCGUGACCUUCAAGGUAGGCACUGUUAGCUCCAUUUUGAUAAGGAAACUGAGGCUCAGGGAAGCUAAGGACUGAUAAAAAUUGGCAAAGCCAGGAUUCGACAUAGAUCUUUUGGCUUUCGGAGUCCAGACACUCUUGGGUGUCCCUGGGACCAUGCACUUGGUUGACAGCUCAUGGAAAACGUGUGUAGUGGGUCAUCAUCCUAAGAGUACUGUAAAUGCCUCAGGGCAGGACAGUGGGUGUUCAAACCAUGUGAGGAGGGAAAUGGUGUCCCUCCAAAGGCUGGUCCUUUCUGUCCCAGGGAGCAGCCCUCUGGAGGUCUCUUUGGAGACUCCUAGGAUACUUCAAUAUGGCCCUGAGCAGGAAGUGGGGAGGGGGAAGCUGGAGGGCAAAGGGACAGGGCCCCAAGGAAGGCUGUCUUCGAUGGACAUGGCUGGAGUGCCUUCCCCCUUCCUGCAACAACCUUAGUUGAGGGCCUGGCCAGCCCCUUUGCCCCAUGUGACCUCGGUCUAGCCUGCCGUUGGUUGGACGACUGAUGGACACCUGAUCCAAGAGGACCCAAACUGUCCUCUGGGCUGAGCCAGUCAGGUUAUCUCUUUCAGGGACUGUGAUUACAGGCUGACCGGCUGGUCAGCUUUGGGGAGCUGGGUUUACAAAGAACUGGGUCCUGGCUAGGACCACUGUGAGCUAAAGUCACGCGGGAGUCGGAGUUGCAGGGGAAGAGAAGCCAGGGUGGCUGGGUAUAGCAGAGACAGGGGUGGCCUGAGAGAGGGAGGGAAAGGCCUGGGCUUUUGAAUACUGGCCUUCACACUGGCAAAGCGCUGCUGUUCCCUUUUACUUGCGCUGGCCCAAAGGGGCUGGGCCUUGACUAAGCGCCAGCAGCUACAGAUGGAGGGCCUGGGCUCCCAAGCACCAGACAAGGUGUGCCCUACGAGGUGAGCAGCACAGCGGAAGGGCCCUGGCUGAGUUUCAGGAGACCCACGUGGGCGCAGCACUCUACAGUGUUUAGGAACAUUCCUGUUGAUCCUUACAGCAGCCCUGUGUGACCCUCUGGGCAGGGGUGGUCCACGUUCAACAGCUGGGGAUAGUGAAGCCUGGGAAAGUGGGUGUUUCACCCAAGGUUAGAGUCCCAGAGCUGAACCUGAGACCCAGGUCUCCUGAUUCCAGACCUGCUGCCUCUCCCACAACUCACACUGCCUCCGUGAGCCCCUCUCUUGCUAGGUAGCUGGGUGGCCUGGGCAUUAGAAAUACAGUGGGUAAAGUGCCUAGCACAAGGCCUGGCUCACAGAGAGUCUCAGGAGGCAGGAGUUGUUAUUAGUGUUAUUACUUUUUUAAGCACAGCUCUGAGCUGCCACCCACCCCUCAGAAGCCUUCUUUUAUUCCCCAGAUGUAUAAAUGCAGUCUGGAGUGUCCACAACUAACCCCCUACCUGGCCUGGUCCAACACUUCUAGUACCUUCUGUUGCGAGGCUUCCCUGCAUCCUUCCCACAUCCCACCUCUGGGCACUUCCUCAUGUUACAGCUGCCUGGAAUUGCCUCCUCCGUCUCUCCUGCCCUCCAAGGACAGCUCCGGGCCCCCUCUUUGGACACGCUUUCCCCCAACUGGAAGAAUGGCACCUUUUCCUGCCCUUGCCACUCUCUGCCAGGUGUUAGGGCUUUGCACGGAGGUGGGUCUCUCUCCGCUGGCCCACCUUGCCCAGCGUCCACAGCAGAUUCCCAGCAGAUGCAGGGAGCCAGUCUUAAUGGAGAGGUUGGGUUGGGUGGGAUGGUCUUGGAGUGAGUGUGGCCCCUGUGGACCCUGUCUCCACCACCUGCUUCCACACUCCCCUUUCUGGUCGUGGCUAGUGGCCCAGACAGCUCUGGGCUGGCAGGGAAUUUGGGAACAGAUGCCAGGAGAUGUGAAGGAGGCUUUUCUUAGGCUCAGCACUCUCCCCAGGGCUCAGGAGCUCAGAUGGUGCAGAUUGGCAUAGUGCCCAGGAGGAGAGGGACUCCAGGCAACAGGGACUUCAGCCUGGAGCCAGCUGCCGGGACCUUCUCUCCCUCUGAGCCGGCCUGCAGAUGUGGUGUCCCCACCCCCACUAGUCACACAAGCAUGUGUGCACAAGUGCACACACAGACACAUGCACAUACACACUGGCUCCAGCACCCCACACGUCCCCACAGUAGCCUCUUGGCGUGACUCUGUCCACCAUCCAGGGCAGAGAAUGCAAGAACCAGAUGGGCGGACAGUCUGCACCUCGAUACAGGAAGAGCCCCUCACAGGACCUGGCCUCUGGGCCCUGCUGUCCCUUCAAGUUGUUUAGGAUUUAAAGAAGUCCCCAGAUCCAGCCCCUCCCCCACAAAGAGAGACUCCGCUCAGAGGCUAAGAUUCCAUCACUCUCCAUGGAAACACAUUUCACUGCACCCUACACCCUGUCGGAAAUGCUCCUCAGGCAGAAUGAGAUGACCAAGGCUCGGACCCUUCCCUUUCAGCCUGUUGUCCUCAUUGGAGACAGCAAGCAGCUGUCCCCAUCCCUGGGGACGCCGCCCUUCUCACAGAGACAUGGAUGCAGACGCUCGUCCCCCAGCCUGCCUCCCACUGCCUGACUCACCCUGGGCUUGCCACCUCUCUUCUGACCUCUGAUUUCCCAGCCUUUUCAAUUAUCUCUGCCAUUCUGCCGCCUUCUAAGCCCUCCACCCUCACCGCUGUUCACAGCCCAGAAUCCGGUAUAAUAGGAGAAUGACUUCAUGGCUCCUAUGGCCUAUAGAGGCUCCUAUUUAUGCAUUGGUGCCCUGAACUUGCUUUUUAUGGUGCCAAGAGCUCCAAGCUGGGCAGCGUCCCCAGGACCCAGGCUGUCUCCGCGGGACCCAGCUCUCUCCAGCUACUGCUUACAGUUCUGCUGUGCACCCCCCCCCCCCACCCCUCCUCAAUGUGGAAUCUGGGCAAGCUAGCUUAGCUUUCUCUGCACUUGACUUUAUUCAAAUGAUUAAAUGCCUCUGUCACGGCUCCCUCCUCCCCAAUUCAAAACAAUACUAGCUGACUUUUAUAUGGUGCUUACCACGUGCCACAUUGCUCUAAGCGAGCUAAUACAUGCUCCUCUUUUAAUCCUCAAACAACCCUAUUUGGUAGGUACUAUUAUUAUUACCAUUUAAAGAUGCAGGAGCUGAGCCACAGGGAGGUUCAGUGACUUGCUCAAGGUCAUACAUCUAAAACAUGGCAGAGUGAGGCCCUCCCUAUACUGUUUCUCCUGUUCUCUCUGUGGGCCUUGCUCCCUUCCAGCUUCUCCAUUCAGAGGAGGAGAGACUCCCUUCCCAAGGCCGACCCCCUGACUGCACUCUGCCCCGGUCCUGGGCUCUUCCUCCUGGCGUUGUUUCUGGAGGCCCCCUGUUUGGCGGUAUUUUCAAACUGUCCUCUCCUAGUGGCUCAGUAUUGGCGGCAAGUUUGUUUGUUUGUUUGUUUUUUUAAAGGGAGGGAGACAGGCCUACCAUGCUCUUUCCUUGGUCUUACUUCCCCCAAGAAUUGCCUCCCCUCUCACCCCUUUAGCUGUCCCCACUUCACCAAGACCACUCUUGCUGAAAACCUCGGGAAUUUCCUGAGUGUCAGACCCCGUGGCACAGGGCUGUCCGUACCUAUGUGGCAACUCUAGAAUAAAUUAGAAAAAAAAAAAUGGGCCCCUCUGGCUGGAUGUAGCCUCUGGGAGUGCAUAGUUUGCUGAGCAUGUUGAACUUCAGCUUCCUAACCCAUCAGCUGGAUUCUUUUGGACAGUGUACAACCUGGACAACCACACACAGAGUCUUGGAUGUUGGCAUCCUUACUGUCCUUCAUAUUCUGGCCACGCUCAUCCCCGAUGGCCAGUCUUCCUCUGCCUUCUUUGUGGACACUCCACUCUCCUGCUUCUGCUGGUCCUUUGCAUCUCACCCGCUGCACCCUGAUUGUAAGAGUGGGGCAGGACUUUGCAUGAGCUGCUCUGAUGCUGGCUCCCAGAGCAGGCCGCCAAGAACUUGCCUCCAGCUCCACUCCAUGCUCUACAUGGUUGAACUGGGACACCCAAGCUUGUUGUGACAACCCGAAAGCACCCUUCUGCCCCAUGUUGGCUCUCUCUGUACUGCCCGAUUCCUGUUAAUGUCCUCAUUCCUUAGCCAGACUGAACACCAUCCCUUCCUCUUUUCCCCUGCACACCUUGUCCUAGUCCUCCUAGUCCUGUCCUUUUCUUCUGUUCCUUUAGCCACCAGAGUCAUCCAGGCCCUCACCCUUUGCAGUCUGGGCUUGGGCAGUGGUUCCUGACCUCCUUGGCAGCUUUCCAGCCCCUUCCCUAAUCUUCCCCACCCCAACUUCCAGAUUAUGCCCCACUCUGCUCUCUGCGUAAAAACCUGCUUUCGGCUCAAAAUGUCACUCCUCCACUCAAAAACCUUCUGUGACUCCCCAUUGACUACAGGGAAAGAAGCCCAAACUUUCAACCUGCCUUUCGGUGUCCUCUACCUUAUGUCAUACCUCUCCAGGCUUAGCUAUUGCUCUGGAGCUGAGGAAAGUGUUUUGGAGCUCACCCUUGGCAGUGCUUUUCCAUAGCUGAGCUCUCUGGAAGGCUGCCAGGGAGGAGGUGGGUGGGGGUGGUGGGGGUGGGGGCUCUGCCCUCUCCACCCCCAUCCCAAGCAGAAGCCUUGUAAUGGCCACCAGCAGCCUGACAGCUGCCCCUGCACCCCGGGCAGCCUGGAUCAGAGCUCGGCCAGACUGCAAAUGUGGAAGGCUGGUCUCCGGGCGGUGGGUAAGAGAUGAAGGGAACCGAGGAGCCUCUCACGGAGGAGUCACUCACCCAGGGGGAGAGGCAGGGCUUCAAGGGAGUUUAGUGGGACAGUGGGGGGCAGCCCGGCUGCAUGGAGAGUUCAUCCCAGUGUUUUCCUGUAUGCUCGAGCCUUGCUUCAGUUUCUCACUCUCUUUCUGAGUGUCUGACAGUCAGGGAGGCAGGUAUGGCUAUCACUCUCCCAGCUGAGCAGUGAGGAAGCUGAGGCCUGGGCAGGUGAGCUGACCUGGUCGAGGUCAUGGAGCGUGUGCAUCAGUGGCAGGACAGAGAUGUGAGAGUUUUCGGGCCGAGCGGGAGGAGGGCGGGCUCUCCCGCCGCCAGCCCACCUGCUCGCCCCAGGCUGGACCUGGGCUUUCAGAGCAGCAGGAACUUCCCUUGCCAUCCAGUGAGGGGCUGGCUAACUCUGGCACCCGGUGGGGGGCCCCAGGGGAGGGACGCAUUUUGCCCUGCUCCGUUCCUGGCCCAAAUCGGCACGGCACCUGGGAAGGGCAGCUGGCCAGCCGCGUGCCAGUGUUACUUUAAAAAUAAACCAGGGAAGAACGAGGCUUAAAAAUAACCCCGGGGAUGUGUGAGAAGCUAAUUACUACCACAGCCCCCUGUCAGGGCUUUGGGGAGUGGCUGGGCCCUGUGGUGUCUGCGUGUCCCCUCUGCUCAUCUCUUCCAGUUGGGAGCCGGGUCACAGCACAGCCGGGGGCGGGCAGGGCCUCAGAAUCCGAGGCCUUGCCUCGUGACUUUCCGCUGGAAUCAUCUGGCUCCAAAAGGGACUUUGAGGUCCUGAGUCCCGCUCUUCUCUGGAGGCAUGUGGUGGCAGCCAGGUGGCUCGUUUUGUCAGCUAUGUCGCCCUAUUUGGGACUCCUGACCACCGCUUCCCAUGUGUCCCAUUCUCUUGAGAAGAACUUUGAGGCCCGUCUUGAUCCAUCAGGGUAAGAAUGCCUGGCCCUUCCAGCUGCCCACUCCUGGCUGCCCCCACGUGCAUCUGUGGCCUGUGAGCUCGCAUCUCGGGACCCUCAGUGCUAAGUGGGGACUGGACUGCAGCUGGGCCCGGCCUGAAGAGCCCCCAGCAGCAGCUGCGGGGUGGGCAGGAACCACGCUCCCAUCCCACAUACCCGGGCUCCCCCAAGGCCCUUGUGCUUGCGGACCCCCCACCUUUGGGAAGAGGUGUGAGGACAUCCUGCAUUGACAGGGAGAGGGACACAGGGCCCAGCUGAGGACACAGCUGAGGACGGACUUGCCGGAUCAAAGAGAAAAAGCAGAGCUCACCCAGAGGAGGGAGGCAGAGGCCAAGACUGCUGGAAGCUGGCAGAAACGAUCAAAGGACAAGGAUGGAUGGGGAGGUGGGGCAGACGGGGCAGACGGGGGAGGCAGCAGCAAGGAGAGACUGGCAGAACCAGGGGCCGGUUGGGGGGCUGCUGCACGACAAGCAGGGGCUUUGGGGGCAGAUGGGCCUGGACUGGAUCCCUGGCUGGGAGCCCUGAGCUGAUAACUGAGCUGGAACUUGGACCUCGUUUGCAUAAUGGACAUAAUGAUAACUGCUCACGGGCCUCUGUAGGAGGGUUUGCGAAGCAUUUAUGAAAAAGGCCUGAAGACGGGGAGCCGUGACGGCCGUGCGUUCUCUCCCUUGCCUCUCUUGAAACCUGGUCCCUCUGUUCCACCUCCGGCUCCACAGAUACAAAAGUCGCCCCUACCACCUUCUGCUCCCGGAACAAGCUGUUGAACGUGGCCCUCUGUUUUCAUAGUCAGUGUCUCCCAUGGCCGCCAGGCUGCCAAUUGCACUGGUGGUUUCCCUGCGGUCAUCUGACUUGAUUUCCCAGCAGCAGCUGGCAGCUGACAGCUCCCUCUCUCCUGAAACACUGCUCUUGGUCUCCAGGUUCCUCUCCAGUGUCUGGCAGGCCCCCUUUCCUGCUCUCCCUCCCUCCCCGUGUUGGGGGCGGUGGUGGUGCUGCUGGCCCUGGGCUUUUCUCCCCUGCUCCCUGCUCCUCCCAGGUGAUCUCAUCUAGCCUCGUGACUUUAAAUAUUAUUUCCAUCUG